GUUUGCUCCCUGUAGCCGGUUCUCCCUCGCUAUUGUCGUUCUACUGGGGGGUGGAAAGCUUUCUUGCGUUUUCUCCCGCUUUCUCUGCAGCUUUUACAGAAAUUUCGCGAUCAGGAAAUUGUUCUUAUAUUUGAUUGGUUGAGGAAGAUGGUGAAUAAAGAUGGUAUUGAUUUCUUCCUCAACUUCCCACGGAAAGAGCUCCAAAAUUUGUGCAAGAAAUAUGGUUUACCUGCUAAUAGGUCAAGUACUGACAUGGCUAUAUCCUUGAAAUCUUUUUAUGAGAAGAAAAGCUCAAGCCCAAUGUCUUUAGAUGGAGGAUUAGGUGCAGUUCAGGAGGUUUCAGGUCCUACAUCUUUGGUACCACUUCUGCAGUCUGGAGCACCGCUAGAUUCCACAGGGGAUACCAGAAGAGAUGAGCAUAUUGGACGGAGUUGUUCUCCAACUAAGAAAUUCCACAGCAUGGGGGAGACAGCUUAUGACAAGGUUUGCUUUUGCUUAUGUCCAUUUAUCUCUGUUCUGCAUUCAGACCACAAAGCUCAUAAAAAAGUUUCAAUGUCAAUACAGGAAACAAUUUGUGGACCAAUGCAACCUCUGCUUGUUCCUCAAUCUGACGGAGUUAAUCUCAACGACAAGGAGAACCCAACACUCACCUCCGGAGAGAACAAUUUGGGUAUUGGAAGAGAUUGUAAGUUAGAAGAAAAGCCCCGUACUGUUGAUACAGACAUAAAUGAUGGUGGAUGUCCUAAAGAGAGUGUGCCCUUGAGACCUUCUAGAGCUACUCGGCUGCCUGAAUUUGAGUUUUAUGUUAGUUCAGAAAAUGGAAUUAACCUUUGUGUUGAUUUAAAUUUUAACCCAUCAGACUGGAUUAAGAAAUUGACAAGUGAAAUUUCUCUACCUGAUAACAUACAAAGUAAGAAUCACAGGAGUUUCCACCGGGAAAUUGGCUGCUCUGCUGAGAGCAAUGAACAGGUGAAGAAUCCUUUACAACAGAAUUUAGAAGUUUGCCAAAGCAAUAAAGGCAAUGUACUGAAAGAGUCAGCCAGAAACCCCACCUUGGGUGAAAAGAAUAAUAGGAGUUUCGACCAGGAGAUUGGCUGUUUUGUAGGGAACAAUGAACAGGUGAAAAAUCCUUUACAAUGGAAUUCAGAUGUUUGCCAAAGCAACAAUGACCACAUACUGAAAGAGUCAGCUAGAAACCCCAUCAUCAGUGAGAAUACUCAUCUGCCUUCUGAUCAUCCUGAUAAGGUCGAAAGAUCUUUCCUAUCAUCAAUAGGACAAUGUAACAAAAUCAUAGGUGUGGUAGAGAAUUUUGAGGAAAAGGACGGACUUAAUAACUUAUCCAUACCACAGUCUGCUGCAUCGCACCAGAUUGUUUCUCAUACUGAAUCCUGUAGCAAAGAUAUUUUUAAGAUAACUUCGGAUUCAGUUGUCAAUUCUCCUCAGAAGCAGUUGGCAGUUGGUUCUGUUGUAAAUAUGGCAGAUGGUUCAAUAAAUCUCAACACAUUGGUGCAUCAAGGUAGAAAGCUCCCUAUUGAAAUUUGUGAGAAUUCAUUCCUUCCAGAUGCUUGUGAGCAUUCUUGCACCAUUAGCUCUCCAGGAGGUGGUUGUGUGAAGAUGCCAUCUUCAGAAGUUGAGAUUUGCAGCAACAAUGCAUCACUUCUACCUUGUGAAUAUGUAAAACCUGUGGCUUUGGUUGAUACAGAUGCAGAACAAGAUGAAUUAGCCAAUGCAACUGUGUCCAGUCAUGAGACCUACAGGAGAUGUUUCCCUUCAUUUCCUGAAGAACAGGAAAUGAACAAAGUUGACAGUGGGAGAGAGCUUUCAGAAUGCUGUCAACAUGACUCAUUGGAAGAGACUUUUGUUGGGCUUGAUGGUGUGGAAUCUAAUGAAAUUCUGAGAAAGAGAUCCCAUAUAGAUGGAGAGGAUCAGAAUUCUUGUGAUGAACCUAAAACAAAGAUUAUGAGAAGUGCAACACCUGUAUCUAACCAGGUCACUCCUAGGAGAUCCGUGCGGCUGGUCUCUCAGUGAAUUCACAAAGAGAUAGGCAUCAACCACAGUUAAAGCAUGAUUUGAGCCAUAUUGCUUUUCAUUGUGUCAGCGUUGGAAGUACAGUUCAUACUAAGUAGUCGUUCCAUUCUUUGAAGACCCAAUAUACCCUCCCCAAUAAAUAAUAAAAACUAGUAAGUGGAUUCAUUGAUGUGUUAGAUUCCUUAUGAUUCUUCUCCUCUUCUUUUAGAGCAGCCACAGAAGAAGAAAAAAUAUAGGGUUUUUUGUUUUCUCCAAAAAAAGAGAAAAACCAAAUUUAGGCUUUGGCAUCCUGGAAUUUCUUUCUUUGGUAAUAAUAUAUUUUUGGGAUCAUAUAUACUGCAUUAGUAAGUAAGACUUGUUCAGUUUUGGUGGACGAA